CACGCCUCAGAGACGGGAGGUGGAGCUCUGUUGAUCAGCGCUGAUGUUCUUUUGAUAUAUAUGGAGAAAGUGAAAGACGCCUCGUCUGAUUUGUUAUUGAGGCUGUGUGAUGAUUUCCUCUCGUCUUUCUAAUAAGCAGCUGACAGUGUGAGGUUGGUGAAUGGUGGAAGUCGCUGUGCUGGGAGAGUGGAGGUUCUUCAUGAAGGACAGUGGGGAACAGUGUGUGGUUAUAACUGGGAUAUGAGAGAUGCUGCAGUGGUGUGUGGAGAACUGCACUGUGGAGAAGCUGUAGAUGCACCACCAUACGGUCACUUUGGACCAGGAUCAGGAACAAUCUGGAUGGAUGAUGUGGGCUGUAGAGGAUCAGAGUCGACACUGAAGGACUGUAGAUCAGGAGGGUGGGGAAACAUUACUGUAAUCAUGGUGAUGAUGCUGGAGUCACCUGCUCAGGUCAGAAUUCCAGACUUACUGCUGGUCCUCACCGAUGUUCUGGAAGAUUGGAGGUGUUUCAUGGAGGUUCCUGGUCCACAGUGUGUGAUGUUGACAAGCAGGAUGCAGAUGUUUUUUGUCGAGAGCAGGACUGUGGGAUUCCUGUGAAGGUUCUGGAAUCAGCUGCUUUUGUUUGAGGGGAGGGUUAGGUGUGGACAGAGGAGCUUCAGUGUAGAGGAAAUGAAUCUGAAAUUACCCUCUGUCCAUCAUCAUCUUCACUCAAACACUCAAACUGCUCCCAUCACAAUGAUGUGGGAUUAAUAUGUUCUGGUCACACAGAGGCUCGGCUGGUGAACGGAUCAGACUCCUGUUCUGGUCGAGUGGAGCUCCAGUACCUCAGUGAGUGGGGCACAGUUUGUGCUGUAGGCUGGGAUAUGAGAGCUGCAGAUGUUCUCUGUGCACAGCUGGAUUGUGGGAGUGCUGUGGCUGUGGUGGAGGUGGACUGGUUUG